rnacentral:rRNA from 1 species
UACGUAGGGACCUAGCGUUGUCCGGAAUCAUUGGGCGUAAAGCGCGCGUAGGCGGCCCGGUAAGUCCGUUGUAAAAGUCGAAGGCUCAACCUUCGAAAGCCGAUGGAUACUGCCGGGCUAGAGUACGGAAGAGGCGAGUAGAAUUCCUGGUGUAGCGGUGGAAUGCGUAGAUAUCAGGAGGAACACCGGUGGCGAAGGCGGUUCUCUGGGCAUUACCUGACGCUGAGGCGCGAAAGCUAGGGGAGCGAACGGG